rnacentral:rRNA from 1 species
AAUGAAAGGAAAGUAAUCUAAUCCAUAAAUCUAUUAUAAAUGGAUUGUAACUUGUAGUUUUGUUAGUUGGAUGGCUCUUGAUUUUAACAAUCUCAAUCAAAUAUGAGAUCAGAGGGGGUUAUUUGCCCGUGUGUUGAUAUAUCAGGAGUUAAUUUCAACUAUGUCUUGGAGUAGCGCUCUUUGGUAAUAGAGCUCGAAGCUUGUGGUGAUAUUCAUAAAAGACUUAUCAUUGGUGAGAGACCUUUAGCGUACAAGUACCGUGAGGGAAAGAUGAAAAGAACUUUGGAGAGGGAGUUAAACAGUAUGCGAACAUGUUGGUAGAAAGCGGAUCAAUUUAAUGAACAUUUCUUUGAGACAAUAACAUCUAAUUUAUACUCUAAUUUUAGUAUAUAAGUUAUAAAUUUGGCUGCUCAGAGUGAGGUAUAUAUGCUUUAAUUUAUUCUGAUCCGACCCGUCUGGAAACACGGACCAAGGAGUCUAGUAUUGGUGCAAGUAGUUGAAAAAUUAAAAUUCCUUUGCAUAGGUAACUUAGAUCGUGUUCAUCGUGUAAUUAUGAUAGUAUCGCGGGCAGUGUUUUUACCUAGCAAGAGCAUGUAU